UUUACACGCUUCCGCAGUGCACAAUAGUUUGCUUAUGAUAUUGUCACAAUUGUUGCUUUAUUUUGGUUGAAUAUAUCACUACAUAGUUCUAUUAAUUUUUCCCUUAGAAAUUAUGGUGAUUUUGACGUGUAUUUCAUUAAGUGACACAAUUUAUAAACCUUGGAUUUCAACUAUUUGUUCUUUGCUUUGGUUCUUAAUCUUUACUUAUCAUUCUUAUUAUUCUUAAAUAGAAAUCAUUAUUUAGCCAAGAAACUAAGUACUAAAACUAAGUACUAAAAUUGUGUAGGAAAUGUGUUGUGGUGUUAUUAAGAUUUUGACAACUAGAUUAUUCUAAUUUAACACCCAUGAAAUUGUUACUUUGGAAUAAUCUAGUUGUCA
rnacentral:misc_RNA from 1 species